UGAGAGUUGGAGUUGAGGCUUAUGAGUUAAAGGGUUAGUUAUACUUCAUGUAUUUCUGUGCAUGACGUCUGCGCUUGUUGGAUUCUCCAUGGAGCACCGGGAGGAAUACUGAUCACUUUGUUGUUGCUGCAAACAUCUCCUCUGGGGAAAAGCUUUGUGAUGGAGGUAGAUGUCCCCCAGAGGAUCAACCAUAAAGCGGCUCACCAGGAGAAGGUGAAGAACAGCAAGCUGCUGCUGGAGCGGGGCCAGUGGGCCAACAAGCUGGAGUUCCUGCUGGCCGUGGCCGGAACCAUGGUGGGGCUGGGGAACCUGUGGCGGUUCCCCUACUUAUGUUACAAAAACGGAGGAGGUGCCUUUCUGGUUCCCUAUGUGUUGUUUCUGGUCUCCUGUGGUAUCCCCAUGUUUCUGCUGGAGACCGCCAUGGGGCAGUACACGUCCCAGGGAUGCAUUACCUGCUGGAGGUCCUUCUGCCCGUUGUUUGAAGGGAUAGGCUACGCCACACAGGUGGUGAUCGCCUACGCGGCCGUCUCCUACAUCGUGAUCCAGGCCUGGGCCUUCUUCUACCUGUUCUCCUCCUUCAGCAGCGAGGUGCCCUGGGCAUCCUGCCACAACGCCUGGAACACAGAUUCAUGCGUGGAAUUCGAUAAGAGAAAUUCUUCAUUCAACUGGACUGCAUCUUCAAAUGAAACUUCGCCUGCAACAGAGUUCUGGGAGAGACGGGUGUUGAAGAUAUCUGGAGGGAUCGAGGAGAUUGGCAGCCUGCGCUGGGAGCUGGUUCUGUGUCUGAUCUUAGCUUGGGUGCUGUGCUACUUCUGUGUCUGGAAGGGAGUCAAGUCUACUGGAAAGGUGGUGUACUUCACGGCCACCUUCCCCUACCUGAUGCUGGUGGUGCUGCUGGUCCGGGGGCUGACGCUGCCGGGGGCCAUCAACGGGAUCAAGUUCUACCUCUACCCGGACCCUACCAGGUUGGUGGACCCUCAAGUGUGGAUGGACGCCGGGGCCCAGGUGCUCUUCUCCUUCGCCAUCUGCCAGGGGAGCCUGACCGCCCUGGGGAGCUACAACCAGUUCAACAACGACGUCUACAAGGACACCUUCAUCCUGUGUCUGGUGAACGGCGGCUCCAGUUUCCUGGCUGGUUUCGCCAUCUUCUCAGUGCUGGGCUUCAUGUCCUACGAGCAGGGCGUGGCCAUCUCUGAAGUGGCCGCGACCGGACCCGGCCUGGCGUUCAUCGCCUACCCCCGGGCCGUGGCCAUGAUGCCCUUACCCCAGCUGUGGUCUGUCUGCUUCUUUGUCAUGGUGAUUCUGCUCGGGGCCGACACACAGUUUGUGAGCCUGGAGUGCCUGAUGACUUCGGUCACAGACAUGUUCCCAAACGUGUUCAGGAGGGGCUACCGACGAGAGCUGCUCCUCUUCUUCAUCUGCACCGUCUGCCUCCUGCUUGGACUGCUGCUGGUCACCGAGGGAGGCCUGUACUUCCUGCAGCUGUUUGAUCAUUACGUCUGUAGUGGCAACAACCUCCUCCUGCUGUCAGUCUGCCAAUCCAUAGCGAUCGGCUGGAUUUAUGGUGCUGAUAACUUCUAUGAUGACAUUGAAGACAUGAUCGGAUACCGGCCAUGGCCGGUCAUGAAGUACUGCUGGCUGUAUCUGACUCCUGCAGUCUGUCUGGGCACCUUCAUCUUCUCAGUGUUGAAGUACCAGCCCUUGAAGUUCAACAAGACCUAUGUUUAUCCUGGCUGGGCCUACGCGCUGGGCUGGAGCCUGGGCCUUUUUUGUGUGUUCCUUGUGCCACUGUGGAUGGUCUUCAAAGUGUCUACGAUGAAGGGAGACCUCAUACAGAGAAUCAAACAACUGUGCAUUCCUGAAAAUAACACCCUCAGCAAAAAGCGCACGUCGUCGGAGCAGUGCCCCCUGGACCCUGACAACCACCUGCUGCCGGCCCCCCGGGGGGAGUGCAAGGAGCAGGGCCUUGACGCAGAGGGGGACAUGCCUGUAUGACCCCGGCCGCCGUCGCUCUGGAAGCACGCCUUUAUUUUGUAGGCUAUGCAUUUUAGAAAUGUAACAAUAGUAGUCCUAUAAUAAAAGCCCUUUUUCUAUUAAAGGGAGAACGGGGUUGCCCUCGUGGGGGAUAUUUCUCAACUUAGGCUUCUGUGAAGAGGUGGCAGCAGCUCCUCAGGCUGAGAAUCAAACAACUGUGCAUUCCUGAAAAUAACACCCUCAGCAAAAAGCGCACGUCGUCGGAGCAGUGCCCCCUGGACCCUGACAACCACCUGCUGCCGGCCCCCCGGGGGGAGUGCAAGGAGCAGGGCCUUGACGCAGAGGGGGACAUGCCUGUAUGACCCCGGCCGCCGUCGCUCUGGAAGCACGCCUUUAUUUUGUAGGCUAUGCAUUUUAGAAAUGUAACAAUAGGAGUCCUAUAAUAAAAGCCCUUUUUCUAUUAAAGGGAGAACGGGGUUGCCCUCGUGGGGGAUAUUUCUCAACUUAGGCUUCUGUGAAGAGGUGGAAGCAGCUCCUCAGGCUGGUAUGUUUCGUCAGUUUUUUUUUUUUUUUUAAUCUAAACAAAGCUGUGUGAUUAUUUCUUUAUUUUUUAACUUCUGAAUCAAUACAAAUGCAAGAUUUACCUCAAUUGUAAUGGGUGAUGAUAGUUGUGUGUUGCUUAGUAGGUCAGGUAAUGAAACACACUCGGAGCUGGGUACCUGAGGAAAUAGGCAUCCCCCUUGAUGUUGAUGACUGUACCGGUUCAUUAUUAUAACGAUAGUAACGUUUCAAAGGGGGAGUUCCCGUGUUCAAAGAUGCAUGUUGGGUCCUGCGUGUGUUUGUUCCUGCGUCAGAGCAGUGCGAGAGCUGUGUGUAAGCUCUCCUUUAUGAGCUUGUUUACGUCAGUGGUAAAGGGUAGCCUAUGUCUCUCCUGGAAAAUGUAAUUACUCAUUCACUUCCUGCUAACUAGUGUUGCUUUUUUUUGUUUUGGUUGUAUGCUUGUACCUACACGUCUAACAUGCUACCUUAAUUUUGAGUUGGCAUUUUGGAAUUUAUCCAUUUGGUAGACAAUUUUAAUAAAAAAUAUAAAUUAAAGGAUGCAUCAUACAUCCUUAAUCUGAAUUGAUAAUGGGCAUCAAACACUGGAUUAAACUGUUUGUGACUUUUCUCAUGGCCAGAAGUAAGGCUUUUCGACCCUACUCAUUAAUGUCCAUUGAUGAACCCACGUUAGCUCCUACACCUUGUUAGCCCUACCGCCUCUAGCACCCACGUUUGCUAUAGUCUACACCUUGUUAGCCCCAGCAGGGCUCUCAAGUCUCACGCAUUCGGCGUGAGACCCACCCACGCAAUUCAACCCAUGCACACGCUCACACGCCCAAGAGUCUGGCUGCAGACAUCCACCCACACGCUCCAGACAUCCACCCACACGCACUUCCGCUGCAGACAUCCACGCACAGAAAUAUCCACCAGCACACCGGAAAUCUGAAAAUAAAAA